GAGUUUGAUCCUGGCUCAGAACGAACGCUGGACGGCAGGCUUAACACAUGCAAGUCGAACGGUCUCUUCGGAGGCAGUGGCAGACGGGUGAGUAACGCGUGGGAAUCUACCUAGUUCUACGGAACAACAGUUGGAAACGACUGCUAAUACCGUAUACGACCCUAAGGGGGAAAGAUUUAUCGGAAUUAGAUGAGCCCGCGUAAGAUUAGCUAGUUGGUGAGGUAAUGGCUCACCAAGGCGACGAUCUUUAGCUGGUCUGAGAGGAUGAUCAGCCACACUGGGACUGAGACACGGCCCAGACUCCUACGGGAGGCAGCAGUGGGGAAUAUUGGACAAUGGGCGCAAGCCUGAUCCAGCCAUGCCGCGUGAGUGAUGAAGGCCUUAGGGUUGUUAAAGCUCUUUCACCGAUGAAGAUAAUGACGGUAGUCGGAGAAGAAGCCCCGGCUAACUUCGUG
rnacentral:rRNA from 1 species